UACAUCCGAGAGUAAUAGUACAGGUCACGAGAAUGUCCGGCCCACAGAUCAUAGUAUUCUGACAAAUUUGGCCCCUGGAAAAAUAUAGUUGAAUAGCCCUGCCAUAGGGCAUAAACAGCAAAACAUUGGAGAUC